CAGCAACUAAAAUACUGUAGGAUUGGAGGUGACUCCCAUUCACUCUUCUACACCUUUGUCCACACUGACCACCUGUCACUUACUGUGGUAAGUUCUAAAGGGUUAUGAUAUAAUAAUAAUGACAGCUAGUCUUUAUUAUGUGCCUGUCACAUUGCAGAGACUGUAUUAAGCCCUUUAUGGAUAUUAUGUCAUUGAAGCUGAACAACACUUGUAAGGUAAGGCAAUAUGAUCUCCAUUCUACCAGCAAAGGAACUGACCUUGCUCAAGGUUGUGCAGCUAGAAAAUGGUGAAGCCAAGAUUCAAAUCAGGCAGUCUGGGGACAGAGCCCACAGACCUUACAUACAGCACUCUGUUGAGAAGAUGAGGUCCUUGUAUCUGAGGUGCAUCAAAUCAAGGACUGGACCCAUUUACAACAACACUCUUCCCUGUAAGCUCUAUUUCCUCACAGAACACCAGUGGACAGCAUUCCAUGUCCAAGCUGUUCUAAUGAUUUCAAAGCUACAGAGGAGGGAUUCCUAGUAAUCCUAGACAGCUUUGUGUUGGGUCAACCAACCUUUCCUAAGAAAGAGUGAUACUGAGACUUGUCUGACAGCAGGCAUCAACGGAAUUUAUUGUAAUCUUAAAGAAUGGCUGGGAGUAUCAAUAAUCUUGGAUAAAGCCCUUUGAUUCAAAUCUUGUGGAAGAUUUCUUUACAGGUUAUUGAUACACAGAGAGUCAACCUUCAUUUUGCACUGGAAUCUGCUGCUGAAGAUUCCUGGCCUCUGCUGUCCAGGUUGUUGGUCUAAGGACAGCUGUGCCGCCUCCGUUGCUCCCAGGGCCAUUGGAAAGCCGCCAACCAUUGGCACUACCUCCUGCUGCCUGGGAAACCUUUCUCAUCUGUGACUGUGAGUGGUGCCAUGGAAUGUUGCCCGGUCCACCUGCACAUGGUGCCACUACUGGCCUCAUGCCACUAUUACCACUGACCCCAGCUCCUCUUGAUUCCCACAGGAUGCUCUGCAGGCCCCAAAGUUAUGUGGAAUGUGUCCCAAUCUCACCAAAUACCUGAAGAAACGUAGUCAUUUUCAUUUUAA